UUGUAAACAAACUGACGUUUAUCGAAUUUACAUGUAGCCAUAAAAACGUCUUUAUAUUAUUUAUAAUUGCACGGUUUCACGACAGACUGUAACUUUAUAAAAACGUUUUUCUUAUAUAAUAUAAUUUGUAGUUUUGUAUAUUCUGUAAUGAUCAACGCUGGCUUAAUUAAAUUGCCAAAUUGUAGUAUUAAUGUAAACGUAAUUACAAUUCGUGAAAUUAGGUUUAGGUUUCUGGGUUAACCGGUUAAAAUCCCAGAGCAUGUGUGUAC